GAUGAACGCUGGCGGCGUGCCUAAUACAUGCAAGUCGAGCGAACGGACGAGAAGCUUGCUUCUCUGAUGUUAGCGGCGGACGGGUGAGUAACACGUGGAUAACCUACCUAUAAGACUGGGAUAACUUCGGGAAACCGGAGCUAAUACCGGAUAAUAUUUUGAACCGCAUGGUUCAAAAGUGAAAGACGGUCUUGCUGUCACUUAUAGAUGGAUCCGCGCUGCAUUAGCUAGUUGGUAAGGUAACGGCUUACCAAGGCAACGAUGCAUAGCCGACCUGAGAGGGUGAUACGCCACACUGGAAAUGAGAAACGGUCCCGACUCCCAAGGGAGGGAGGGGUGGGGAAUCUUUCCCAAAGGGCGCAAGCCUGAACGAGCAAACCCGCGUGGGUGAAGAAGGUUUUUGGGUUGUAAAACUCUUUUUUUUGGGAAAAAAAAAAGUUGAAAAAAACUGUGCAGUUCUGAAGGGUACCAAAGAAAAAGGCCGGGCCAAAUUCGGU
rnacentral:rRNA from 1 species